rnacentral:rRNA from 1 species
UACGUAUGGACCAAGCGUUGUUCGGAUUUACUGGGCGUAAAGGGCGCGUAGGCGGCGCGGUACGUCACUUGUGAAAUCUCUGAGCUUAACUCAGAACGGCCAAGUGAUACUGCAGUGCUAGAGUGUGGAAGGGGCAAUCGGAAUUCUUGGUGUAGCGGUGAAAUGCGUAGAUAUCAAGAGGAACACCUGAGGUGAAGACGGGUUGCUGGGCCAACACUGACGCUGAGGCGCGAAAGCCAGGGGAGCAAACGGG